GAUGGAUCAAAGGUUAAAGUGCGCAUCGCUAAAAACAAAUGUUAGUUAUAAAUGAUGAUCGCGUUUGGGGAGGUUCUGCCUUCAUAUUCAUACCUGAACACAAUUCCUGGAAAUAAAGCACACAAAAAAAAAACAUUUCUGGGAUUCAGCGUGAUAUAAGAGGUGUAGCGUGAGUUUGCGUGAUCGAUGUCAAUUGCAUGUGUCUCAUGGUGAAUGCGUGAGAGUUAGCAGCUCUAGUUAUACACAUGCAAACGUUAACUUCAAGCACGAAAUUAAAAUGCCUACUAUAACUCAGCAUUUGAGUGAGAUCAAUGGACCACAAUAUUCUUGUGAUAGGUAACAUUUUAAUGCAUAUAACCAGGUAAAAUCCAAAUGUGCAAAUCCCUGUAGGUCCCUAGGACCAGGAUUGAAAACCCUAAUAUACUGAACAUAAAUAUAAACGCAACGUGCAUCAAUUUCAGUUCAUAUAAGGAAACCAGUCAAUUGAAAUAAAUUCAUUAGACCCUAAUAUAUGAAUUUCACAUUACUGGAAAUAUAGAUAUUGUUCUGUUUGUGAAAGGUAACUUAAAAAAAGGUAGGGGCGUGGAUCAGAAAACCAGUCAGUAUCUGGUGUGACCAUUUGCAGCACAGCACAUCUCCAUCACCUAGAGUUGAUCAGGUUGUUGAUUGUGGCCUGUGCAAUGUUGUCCCACUCCUCUUCAAUGGCUGUGCGAAAUUGCUGGAUAUUGGCGGGAACUGGAAUACGCUGUCAUGCACGUCAAUCCAGAGCAUCCCAUACAUGUUCAAUGGGUGACAUGUCUGCUUCCUGGAGCUGUGUAAAGAUCCUUGCGACAUGGGGCUGAGCAUUAUGAUGCUGAAACAUGAGGUGAUGGCGGCAGAUGAAUAGUACGACAAUGGGCCUCAGGAUCUCGUCACGGUAUCUCUGUACAUUCAAAUUGCCAUCGAUAAAAUGCAAUUCUGUUUGUUGUCCGCAGCUUAUAGGUGCCCCUACCAUAACCCUACUGUCCCCAUGAGGCACUAUGUUCACAACGUUGACAUCAGAAAACUUCUCACCAACAAUUUCCGGCAACAGCUCUGGUGGUCAUUACUGCAGUCAGCAUGCCAAUUGCACACUCACUCAAAACUUGAAACAUCUGUGGUGUUGUGUGACAAAACUGCACAUUUUAGUGGCCUUUUUUUGCCCCCAGCACAAGGUGCACCUGUGUAAUGAUCAUGAUGUUUAAUCAGCUUAUUGAUAUGCCACAUUUGUCAGGUGGAUGGAUUAUCUUGUCAAAGGAGAAAUGCUCACUAACAGGGAUGUAAACAAAUUUGUGCUCAAAAUUUGAGAGAAAUAAGCUUUUUGUACGUAUUGGACAAUUUCGGGGAUCUUUUAUUUCCGCUCAUGAAACAUGGGACCAACACUUUACAUGUUGCAUUUAUAUUGUUAUUCAGUGCAUAAGUAAUCAAAACGUAUUAAAGACAUCACUCCAAUACAUACAAGUCUAAAUUCGCAUUUCCUUUGAGUCGAUGACGGAUGGAUAUAUACAAAUGUUCAACGUCCACACAAGUCUGUUACAUUGGACCCAGUAUAAAAAUGAACAUGCAGUGGUGGGUCAGGGCAGUAUUUGGCAUAACAGUUUCUUCUUGACCUUACAGGCACUUAAAAAAUAUAUUGCCUGUAUAGUGUUCAGAUGUAGCACAGCCCCAUCUGAGUUUAAAUAUUUAACCUUAGAGAAAUUAAGUAAAGUGAUAUUUCCCUAAAUCUAG